AUGGGGGAGAGGGUCAAGGGAACCGUGAAGUGGUUCAACGUCACCAAGGGGUUCGGCUUCAUCUCCCCGGACGACGGCGGCGAGGACCUUUUCGUCCACCAGUCCGCCAUCAAGUCCGACGGCUACCGCAGCCUCAACGAGAACGACGCCGUCGAGUUCGAGAUAAUCACCGGCGACGACGGACGCACCAAGGCCUCCGACGUCACCGCACCAGGAGGAGGGGCGCUCUCCGGCGGCUCCCGCCCUGGCGAAGGCGGUGGUGGCGGCUACGGCGGCGGUGGUGGCGGCUACGGUGGCGGUGGCUAUGGAGGCGGCGGUGGCGGCGGCCGUGGGUGCUACAAGUGCGGCGAAGAUGGCCACAUCUCCAGGGACUGCCCCCAGGGCGGCGGUGGCGGCGGCGGCUACGGCGGUGGUGGCUACGGAGGUGGUGGCGGCGGCGGCCGUGAGUGCUACAAGUGCGGCGAGGAGGGCCACAUCUCCAGGGACUGCCCCCAGGGCGGCGGCGGCGGCGGCUACGGAGGCGGUGGCGGCCGUGGCGGUGGCGGCGGCGGUGGCGGCUGCUUCUCCUGCGGCGAGUCCGGCCACUUCUCCCGCGAGUGCCCCAACAAGGCCCACUAG
rnacentral:rRNA from 1 species